rnacentral:rRNA from 1 species
GUGGGGAAUAUUGGGCAAUGGGGGAAACCCUGACCCAGCAACGCCGCGUGAGGGAAGAAGGUUUUCGGAUUGUAAACCUCUGUCCUUGGUGACGAAGGAAGUGACGGUAACCAAGGAGGAAGCCCCGGCUAACUACGUGCCAGCAGCCGCGGUAAUACGUAGGGGGCAAGCGUUGUCCGGAAUGACUGGGCGUAAAGGGCGUGUAGGCGGCCGAUUAAGUCUGGAGUGAAAGUCCUGCUUUCAAGGUGGGAAUUGCUUUGGAGACUGGUUGGCUUGAGUGCGGAAGAGGUAAGUGGAAUUCCCAGUGUAGCGGUGAAAUGCGUAGAUAUGGGGAGGAACACCAGUGGCGAAGGCGGCUUUCUGGACGGUGUCUGACACUGAGGCGCGAAAGCCAGGGGAGCGAACGGGAUUAGAAACCCCUGUAGUCC